CAAGUUUUUAAAGUUAUGCGAUUGACACCUUGUAAUGGGUCCUUGACAACUUUUAACUGCAGCAAGAUGGCAGAUUAUCAGCAUAAAAGAAGCAGGGAUGUCGCUGUAACAACUGCACGUAUUGUUGGUCAUCACCAUUCCACUAUAAGUCGUUUUGAGAAUAAAACUCAGGCAAUAAACGCUGUUAAAGACCUUCCGAGAUAAUGAAGACC
rnacentral:lncRNA from 1 species